rnacentral:miRNA from 8 species
UGACAGAAGAGAGAGAGCAC